rnacentral:lncRNA from 1 species
UGGCCACAGAAAGAACAGUAUGACAUGGUUUCCUGUCCAGGAGCAGAGCCAACACAACAUGGGACUUCUCGAGUGCUGACAGUUGCUGUAGGAAUAAACAGGUAAUAGUUUGGCCUUUUAAUCUGAAAUGAACUACAAUCCAGUAAUGGAGGGCACACUUGUGAUCCAGAUCUUGAGGCUGGAAUAUACAGCGUUUUGAUCCAGAUCUUGAGGAAUAGUGGCCCUGAAAAUCUAACCCUAACCCUGAAAAUCUUAGGACUGGACAAAGUGGUAGACACCAUUAAUCCCAGGAAACAAAGCAAGAAGAUCUACAGUCCACUGUGAAGCAUACUGCGACUGUAAUGGCUCACAGCUACAGUGAAGGCAGGCACGGCCUUGCUCAUCAGACUGCGUCAGUUAUGAUCUAUGUCACAAGACACCCAAAGAGAGCUGAACUGACUGGACAUUCCACAUGACACCACACUGGCCCACUUUGUUGAUGGAUUAUAUUCACCAAAUCUAAUUAAACAAAAUGGGAUGUCUUCAUAAGAGAAAUGUACUCUAUGAGGGGCUCCCAGCUAAACAUCUGCAUUGAGUCUCAGAAAAGGCUUGGGCCUUGGACUUCUGAACAACAUUGGAACUGUCAAUAUUUGGGGUACUCUUGGGGACAGUCUAUGUACAAUUUGUAUUGUGAGGUGGCCAUAAACCUUUCCGGGCUAAGAGCAGAACACUAUCAUCUGAAAAUGGAAUCUACUUGACAAGCCCAGGUUUUAGACCCUUGGUACCCAGCUUAGGAGGUGGGAGAACUUAGGCAGAGAAAGUAGAUCACUGGACAUGGAUCUUUGAAGACCCAGAAUUGGGUCUCAUCACUUACUGUUUGCCAUCCACCAUGA